GAGGAAAAGAAACCAACAGGGAUUGCCUUAGUAGCGGCGAGUGAAGCGGCAAAAGCUCAAAUUUGAAAUCUGGCACUUUCAGUGUCCGAGUUGUAAUUUGAAGAAGGUAUCUUUGGGUCUGGCUCUUGUCUAUGUUUCUUGGAACAGAACGUCACAGAGGGUGAGAAUCCCGUGCGAUGAGAUGUCCCAGACCUAUGUAAAGUUCCUUCGAAGAGUCGAGUUGUUUGGGAAUGCAGCUCUAAGUGGGUGGUAAAUUCCAUCUAAAGCUAAAUAUUGGCGAGAGACCGAUAGCGAACAAGUACAGUGAUGGAAAGAUGAAAAGAACUUUGAAAAGAGAGUGAAAAAGUACGUGAAAUUGUUGAAAGGGAAGGGCUUUAAGACCAGACUUGGUAUUUUGUAUGUUACUCUCUCGGGGGUGGCCUCUACAGUUUACCGGGCCAGCAUCAGUUUGAGCGGUAGGAUAAGUGCAAAGAAAUGUGGCACUGCUUCGGUAGUGUGUUAUAGUCUUUGUCGAUACUGCCAGCUUAGACUGAGGACUGCGGCUCGGCUA
rnacentral:rRNA from 1 species